rnacentral:rRNA from 1 species
CCCUUCGAUGUUCUGGGCUGCACGCGCGCUACACUGAUGCGUUCAGCAAGCUCUCUAACCUUCACCGAUAGGUGUGGGUAAUCUUCUGAAAGCGCAUCGUGUUUGGGCUAGAUGAUUGCAAUUAUUCAUCUUCAACGAGGAAUACCUAGUAAACGCAAGUCAUCAACUUGCAUUGAUUACGUCCCUGCCCUUUGUACACACCGCCCGUCGCUCCUACCGAUUGAACGAUCCGGUGAAAUCUUGGGAUUUUGUUUUGUUUGCAUUUAUUUGUAUCGAGACGAGAGAACUUGAGUAAACCUUACCAUUUAGAGGAAGGUGAAGUCGUAACA